AACGAACGCUGGCGGCAGGCCUAACACAUGCAAGUCGAGCGCCCUUUCGGGGGAGCGGCGGCCGGGUGAGUAACGCGUGGGAACAUGCCCUUCUCUACGGAAUAGCCUCGGGAAACUGAGAGUAAUACCGUAUACGCCCUGUGGGGGAAAGAUUUAUCGGGGAAGGAUUAGCCCGCGUUGGAUUAGGUAGUUGGUGGGGUAAUGGCCUACCAAGCCGACGAUCCAUAGCUGGUUUGAGAGGAUGAUCAGCCACACUGGGACUGAGACACGGCCCAGACUCCUACGGGAGGCAGCAGUGGGGAAUCUUAGACAAUGGGGGCAACCCUGAUCUAGCCAUGCCGCGUGAGUGAUGAAGGCCUUAGGGUUGUAAAGCUCUUUCAGCUGGGAAGAUAAUGACGGUACCAGCAGAAGAAGCCCCGGCUAACUCCGUG
rnacentral:rRNA from 1 species